GAUUAACGCUGGCGGCGUGCAUAACACAUGCAAGUCGAACGAUGAAACUUAAAUGAUUUCUUCGGAAUGAACUUAAGUGGAUUAGUGGCGGACGGGUGAGUAACGCGUGAGUAACCUGCCUUACACAAGGGGAUAGCCGUUGGAAACGACGAAUAAUACCCUAUGAAACUAUCACUUCGCAUGAAGCGAUAGUCAAAGUGUUAGCGGUGUAAGAUGGACUUGCGUCUGAUUAGCUAGUUGGUGAGAAAAAAGCCCACCAAGGCAACGAUCAGUAGCCGGCUUGAGAGAGUGUACGGCCACAUUGGGACUGAGACACGGCCCAGACUCCUACGGGAGGCAGCAGUGGGGAAUUUUGCACAAUGGGGGAAACCCUGAUGCAGCGACGCCGCGUGAUUUAGAAGGCCUUCGGGUUGUAAAAAUCUUUUGUAUAGGACGAAAAUGACAGUACUAUACGAAUAAGGUCCGGCUAAUUACGUG
rnacentral:rRNA from 1 species